rnacentral:rRNA from 1 species
GACGAACGCUGGCGGCGUGCUUAACACAUGCAAGUCGAACGAAGAGCGACGGAAGCUUGCUUCUAUCAAUCUUAGUGGCGAACGGGUGAGUAACGCGUAAUCAACCUGCCCUUCAGAGGGGGACAACAGUUGGAAACGACUGCUAAUACCGCAUACGAUCUAAUCUCGGCAUCGAGGAUGGAUGAAAGGUGGCCUCUACAUGUAAGCUAUCACUGAAGGAGGGGAUUGCGUCUGAUUAGCUAGUUGGAGGGGUAACGGCCCACCAAGGCGAUGAUCAGUAGCCGGUCUGAGAGGAUGAACGGCCACAUUGGGACUGAGACACGGCCCAGACUCCUACGGGAGGCAGCAGUGGGGAAUCUUCCGCAAUGGACGAAAGUCUGACGGAGCAACGCCGCGUGAGUGAUGACGGCCUUCGGGUUGUAAAGCUCUGUUAAUCGGGACGAAAGGCCUUCUUGCGAAUAGGGAGAAGGAUUGACGGUACCGGAAGAGAAAGCCACGGCUAACUACGUG